rnacentral:snoRNA from 1 species
AGCCUCAUUCUAGAUGAAAAUGGGUACUGUUGAUCAUGGUGUCCAAAAAAGUUAAUGUGGCUAAACUGAGACAGAGGCUAUGCUUCCAUCACAGUACACACAUUGCAGUGGUGACAAUGAGACCUGUAACAUUU